GGAGAGGUGUCCGAGUGGCCGAAGGAGCACGACUGGAAAUCGUGUGUGGGGUGAAACUCACCGAGGGUUCGACUCCCUCCCUCUCCGCCA
rnacentral:tRNA from 1 species